AUACGACACAUUUUCUAGCGGUUAGUUUUGAAGCUUUGACUUGAUUAUCUUUGUUGAAGUUAUUUUGCAUUGUAUGGGAUGGUUACAUUGGUAUGUCCACUUUCAUUUUGAAGUGGCAAUGCUUCUACUCAUAUUUAGGUGGUUAUUAUCAAUAUUUCCUCAUAACCAGGUGUCUUUUUUAUAUUGUAAUUGUUAGUGACCUGGUGAAUGAUUUCUGCCUCAAUCAGUUAAAUUUAUGCUGUGGUAUAUUGUUGUCAUCUAAUAUUCUGCCCUGGUCAACUUUAUAAAGAUUAAAUAUUAUAAUUUUCUUAUAGGUAGUAGUUUCUAUCAACUGUAGUCUGUUGUUGAUAGAGAAAAGAAUGCAGACAGUGAUUCAAAGACACAACAACAAUCAAUAAGAGAAUAGAAAUAGAAAUGGAGAAGGGAAAUUUAUUAAUUCCAAUAUUUUCUCAGUACAGAGACAGAAUUACAAAAUGAAAAGGAGAAGAAGACUCCCCAGCAGAAUCACAAUACAAUGCUCUGCCCACCAAGCUGAAGAACAGCUGGCCAAACAUUCAAAUCCACUAACAAAUUUCUUGACACCCCAAUCCCUCUCUUAUUCUCUUUUUAUAGCUUUUUGUCCCAUCUUUCACAUGCCAGCCGAAUGUUCCUCUAACUGAAUGGUUUGCACAGCUGGCCCUUUUUCUUCUAAAGCUUUCUGGAUAACCAAUUCUUUGCCUUCUAAAGUCUUAUUGGGCCUUCUAGUGUAGACCCUCCAUGUGGCUCUUGCCCUUUUGAUGGUUGCAAAUUCUCAUCAGUUGUCCAUUGUUUCUACAUUCAAAUUUAAAGAAGUAUCAGUAGGUCAAUUAGCAAAACCUUAAUGUAGGUUACAUAUAAUGUAUACAAGGAAAAACUUAUAAGCUCAUUGAGAAUCAGUAACUAGCACUAAUACUAGUUAUGACCAUUUUAAAAUUCAUUUCUUGUGCACUUUUUCAUGUCCCUUUUUGUUAUGGAUUUAUGAUAAUUAAGGUUAAUGUUUAACUAUACUUGUGAACAGGUUAUAGCAACAAUUUGUGAGG
rnacentral:misc_RNA from 1 species